rnacentral:tRNA from 1 species
CUGUGUAGCCAAGCGGAAAGGCAGCGGACUGCAACUCCGUCACCGCAGGUUCAAAUCCUGUCACA